rnacentral:rRNA from 1 species
GACGAACGCUGGCGGCGUGCCUAAUACAUGCAAGUCGAACGCAGUGGGGACGGGUGAGUAACACGUGGGUAACCUCCCAUCAGAGGGGAUAACACUUGGAAACAGGUGCUAAACCGAUACUGUUGGCUGGACCCGCGGUGCAUUUGCUAGUUGGGGAGGUAACCGCUCACCAAGGUUACGAAGAGUAGCCGGUCGUAGAGGGUGGUCAGCCACACGGGAACGUGGACACGGCCCAGACUCCUACGGGAGGCAGCAUUAGGGAAUCUUCGGCAAUGGACGAAAGUCGGACCGAGCAGCGCCGCGUGAGUGAAGAAGGUUUUCGGAUCGUAAAACACUUUUGUUAGAGAAGCGGUAUCUAACCAGAAAGCCACGGCUAACUACGUGCCAGCAGCCGCGGUAAUAC